rnacentral:lncRNA from 10 species
GUACCCCAGCCGGUGGGGAGAGGGAAUAUAGGAGGGGAUAGUUGAGGCCAAGAGGAUUGGCUCCAAGGAAUCCCUGGAAUCAGCUACUUUGUCCUCUGGGGGUCUUCUACCUGUAAACCUCAGGCGUCUUGGAAACUAGAGGAGAGUAAAGACUUGAGCUGUGGCUCCAGCUGAGGGACACAUUCCACAGGUGCUGAAGAGCACGUGAUCAUCAUCUAUGCCUGCUUAGUUAGGGCUGCUGUUAGCACCUGGAUUUUACAGAUGAGGAAACUGAGACUCAAGAGGGCUUGUGAAUUUCAGAAAUUCACACAUGUCAGUGGCAGAUCAGAAAGAAGCCCAUUUCCGGCCUCCAUGUUUACCUAGAUCUAGGCAAAGAACCUUGCUUUAGUCUCUAACAAAUUUACCUCAGAAGAGAGACUCAUUUGUUCAGUUUAUUCAAGGUUUGGAUAGUAGAUAUGAAGAGAAAUAUUGAAGGGGAAGGGAAUUCUCAGCUUAGCAUACAGGGGUUAGGAAGCUAAAUUCAGCCCAGGGUGAUAGAAGUCACGCUUGCAACUGGGUGGUGCAGCAAGGCUGGGGAUGCAGCACCGUGGACAGUGGCAAGUCUCUUAGCUCCUCCGAGUCCGCUGGCUGUCCCAGCUAGGAAGCAAGGACACCAGGUCCCCCCCCUGCCUCUCUCAAAGAGUCCAUUUCAAGGUCAGGA